rnacentral:lncRNA from 1 species
UGAACAAUUUGAAGAACUUUUAACAAUCAUCACAGAUGAUAUUCAAAAACGUAAUUAUAGAGAGUUUUUAACUCUAGAAUUUCGUUUAGCUAUCACACUUAGGUAUGUUGUAUUCCAUUUGCGACUACUUUUUUGUAUUUUGUUUUUUAUUUUGUUAUUAUAUAAAUUGUAUAUUGGUUUUUAGUUACUUAGUAUCUGGCAUUAGUAUUGUUAGUUUAUCAAAUUAUUGGAAGAUAGGCAAAUCUACUGCAUACGAGGUGAUUCGAGAGAUAUGUGAAGCUAUAUGGAAGUGUUUAAAGGAUACUCAUUUAGCACCACCUUCUACGAUAGAAUGGAAACGCAUAGCAGAUGGAUACUGGUCAAGAUGGAAUUUACCAAACUGUUGUGGAGCUUUAGAUGGGAAGCACAUCAGAUUAUAAUGUCCACCAAAAUGUGGCUCCCAAUUCUUCAAUUAUAAACAAUAUUUUAGCUUUGUAUUGAUGGCACUCUGUGACAGCAAAUAUUGCUUUACAUGGAUAGAAGUAGGAAACUAUGGAUUUCUUCCAGACAGCAGUAUUUUCAGUUCCUCUGCAUUAGGUAUAGCCAUGGAGGAAGGAUCUCUUAAUUUCCCAGAUCCAGAACGGUUGCCUGGUAGUAAUGUGUUUGUUCCCUACUUUCUUGUUGGCGAUGAAGCAUUCCCAUUACGCACCGACUUAAUAAGACCAUACCCAAGAAGAAAUCUCCUAGGCGAGGCACAUCGAAUAUUUAAUUACAGGCAAUCUCGUGCAAGACUCACAAUCGAGAAUGCUUUUGAAAUUUUAACAUCAAGGUGGCGAGUUUUAUGCACCACUUUUUUUGGCUCACCAUCCUCAUAACAGUGAAAGCAUUAUUCUUGCUACAGUGUGUCUUCAUAACUUUGUUAUAAAAAGAGAAGAACACCAGCAAGGAUUCAAACAAUAUUGCCCACCUUCAUAUGUGGAUCAUGAAGAUGAUAAUUAUAAUAUAGUACCUGGUGAAUGGCGGAGAGAUCCUUUUUGUAACUACCUCCAGAAUAUUGGUCGAUUAGGAACAAACAGAGGUGCAGUAGUUGCAAUUCAUCAGAGACACAAUCGCAGAAUAUUCUUUGAGUGAGGAAGGGUGCCUUGGCAGUGGCAAACUGUUUACAGAGGUUUUGAUGUAAAUAUGCCUUAGUUUAUAUUUUAUUUAGAUUAAAUAAUGUUUUAUCAUUAUUAUAUUAUAAUAAUUUAUAAAAAAAUAUAUAUAUAGUUUAUUUAUAAUGUAUAUUAUAAUUAUUACAUUAUAAUAUAAUAUAAUAAUUAGCAUUUUUUUUCUAAAACAAUUUCAAUAUCUUUAUUAAAUAUAAUUUUUUUUUAAUUUGUGUAAUAAACUUUGUAUAAUAAAACAUUGGAAAAAACAUGGAACUAUACAUCACAAUACUUGUAAACAUACUAUUUUUAUACUAUUAUUGCUAUAUCUAUAUACUAAAAUAAAAAUCACAGUAUAUGUCAACAUAAAGAUUACUAAUCAUAACAGAUAUUAAUUUUUAUUACGAAUUAACAUUUUUAGUAGAAACAAUUUUGUUUAUUAACAAAAUAAAUACUAUACUUUUGCAUAAUAUAAUGAAAAAUUUUAAAAAUUAGAAAAAUUAAUUAAUCUUUUGAAAUUUUAGUUAAGGUUCUUUAAAAUAAUACCCUUAAAAGAUUAAUAAUAUUAAUUAUUAUUAAAAUAAAAAUUAUUUCAUAAUUAAUAUUUACUGUAGAAACAAUUCUGUUUACUCUAAAAAGAAAGUUGUAUAACAAUUAAAAAUAAAAACAAAUAGUUCUUUGGAUUGACAUCUUUAAAAAGAAAUCACACUUUGGUAGAAAAUCAGAAAGUAAAAAAGCAGAAGCCAAUCAGAAUUCUCGCUGAGAAUAAGCUUAUUAAGGAAAGUAGUAAAAUUAUAAUAAGUUACUAGCAGUGCGAGUUCUGAUUAGCUGCUACUUUUUUAUAAAGAUAUAAAACUUCAAGAAUAUUAUUAAUAUUCUUGCUAAAAUAAAAUUAUGACAUAAUUAACAUUUAUUAUAGGAACGAUUAUGUUCACUAAAAAACUAAAAAUGUAUUCUUGUAUAACAUAAUUAAAAAACAAAUUUAUAAAAAACAUUGACUUUUGAUUUUAUAAUCAAGGUUCUUUGGAAUGGAAACGUAUUCAUCGAUGACUAUAUGUUUACACGUCACUUUUAAUUGGAUUUUAUAAUAUUCGUAGUUCUAAGACUGGCUAAUCAUAGCCAUUCCUCUGAAACUCUGAAGAAUGGAACGGUUAUGAUUGGCCACUACCUUACAACUGCAGCAACUAUUAUUAAACCCGAUUAAGAGUGACGUGUAAAUAUAGUUGAUAGUACAAGUUUACCUAUUUUUGAUAUUUGCUGAUAACAUUCAUAAUAGCCAUAAAACAUUCCAUUUCCAUUUCAGCUGAAACCUUUUCAAAUGCUGUUUCUAUAGCAACAACAAAAGGGUGCAUAUUCUUUUCUUUUUUUACUUCAUUUAGAGUAUCCUGUGUGAAACAUGUCGCCAUAGAUUGGAUGGCAGACGAAAACUUUGCAAUCAGCAAUUUUAGAUUAUUCUCUUUAUUCUUCUUCUGUUGAGAAAAUGUAUCCAAUGACGGGACAGCAGUUUUUAUUUCUUGGACGGAAAUCCAGCAUUUUUUUCAUCACUUUUAUAUAAUUGUUUUUUCUUAUCACCAUCAUUGUUUGUCACGUCAAUAAGAACAUAGUCCAAAUCAUCCGGUACAAUUUUUACAGGCGAGGAACUGCAUGUGUUUCUUUCUGCAUCGUACUCCGUUGAUAUUUCGUCACUCACUGAAUCGAGUGAAGAUGGUGAUGGUGAUAUCAGAAAAUUUGGAGAGUUUGAAGAUGACCCGCUUGAUGGUGUUGACGAUCCAGAAUUAUUUGAGAUAGUCAUGGAACCUUGAGUUCUGCCAAAAAAAUUUUUAAAAUUAAAAUUAGGGCAUACUUUAAUAUGUAGAGAAAAUUGUAAGUUAUACAAGUACUGAGUAAAUGAUGUUAUGUUCAACAACAACAAUUUUUUAAGUUAUAUAUUAUAUACAAUGGAAAAGAAAUCUUUUCCAACGUAUUCUUUUUUUUCUGCAUUCUACACAGUAUAUCUUUUAUGACUUACACUCAGUAAAAUAAAGAAUCUUUUUGUACCAUA